rnacentral:rRNA from 1 species
GAUGAACGCUGGCGGCGUGCCUAAUACAUGCAAGUCGAGCGAAUGGAUUAAGAGCUUGCUCUUAUGAAGUUAGCGGCGGACGGGUGAGUAACACGUGGGUAACCUGCCCAUAAGACUGGGAUAACUCCGGGAAACCGGGGCUAAUACCGGAUAAUAUUUUGAACUGCAUGGUUCAAAAUUGAAAGGCGGCUUCGGCUGUCACUUAUGGAUGGACCCGCGUCGCAUUAGCUAGUUGGGGAGGUAACGGCUCACCAAGGCAACGAUGCGUAGCCGACCUGAGAGGGUGAUCGGCCACACUGGGACUGGGACACGGCCCAGACUCCUACGGGAGGCAGCAGUAGGGAAUCUUCCGCAAUGGACGAAAGUCUGACGGAGCAACGCCGCGUGAGUGAUGAAGGCUUUCGGGUCGUAAAACUCUGUUGUUAGGGAAGAACAAGUGCUAGUUGAAUAAGCUGGCACCUUGACGGUACCUAACCAGAAAGCCACGGCUAACUACGUGCCAGCCGCCGCGGUAA